rnacentral:rRNA from 1 species
GACGGAGGAGGCAAGCGUUAUCCGGAAUUAUUGGGCGUAAAGCGUACGCAGGUGGCGAUUCAAGUCUGCUGUCAAAGGUCGGGGCUUAACCCCGGGAAGGCAGUGGAAACUGAAUAGCUAGAGUGAGGUAGGGGCAGAGGGAAUUCCCGGUGUAGCGGUGAAAUGCGUAGAGAUCGGGAAGAACACCAGUGGAGAAAGCGCUCUGCGGGGCCUGCACUGACAUUGAGGGACGAAAGCUAGGGGAGCGAAAGGG